UACGAAGGGGGCUAGCGUUGCUCGGAAUCACUGGGCGUAAAGGGUGCGUAGGCGGGUCUUUAAGUCAGGGGUGAAAUCCUGGAGCUCAACUCCAGAACUGCCUUUGAUACUGAAGAUCUUGAGUUCGGGAGAGGUGAGUGGAACUGCGAGUGUAGAGGUGAAAAUUCGUAGAUAUUCGCAAGAACACCAGUGGCGAAGGCGGCUCACUGGCCCAUAACUGACGCUGAGGCACGAAAGCGUGGGGAGCAAACAGG
rnacentral:rRNA from 1 species